UAGGGAAUCUUCGGCAAUGGGGGCAACCCUGACCGAACAACGCCGCGUGAGUGAAGAAGGUUUUCGGAUCGUAAAGCUCUGUUGUAAGAGAAGAACGAGUGUGAGAGUGGAAAGUUCACACUAUAGCGGUAACUUACCAGAAAGGGACGGCUAACUACGUGCCAGCAGCCGCGGUAAUACGUAGGUCCCGAGCGUUAUCCGGAUUUAUUGGGCGUAAAGCGAGCGCAGGCGGUUAGAUAAGUCUGAAGUUAAAGGCUGUGGCUUACCCAUAGUACGCUUUGGAAACUGUUUAACUUGAGUGCAGAAGGGGAGAGUGGAAUUCCAUGUGUAGCGGUGAAAUGCGUAGAUAUAUGGAGGAACACCGGUGGCGAAAGCGGCUCUCUGGUCUGUAACUGACGCUGAGGCUCGAAAGCGUGGGGAGCAAACAGGAUUAGAUACCCUGGUAGUCCACGCCGCAAACGAUGAGUGCUAGGUGUUGGGUCCUUUCCGGGACUCAGUGCCGCAGCUAACGCAUUAAGCACUCCGCCUGGGGAGUACGACCGCGAGGUUG
rnacentral:rRNA from 1 species